ensembl:ncRNA T10A3.2 ncRNA
AGAGAGACGAUGACAGCCAAGGGUUAGGGGCUCUCUGACGCCGCGGAGAGAAUUACUAGGAACAGAAAACGAGGCUCAUCUCAGG